UAGCUGCCCAGGUGGAAAUGGAUUCAGCAUCUCCUUGAGCUCCCACAGAGAGUCAAUUGGAUGGAGGAGAUACAAAGAAGACACAAUGUUUCACUUUUCUUGAACUCUGGUGCUAAUGAAGGCAAGCAGGUGAGGAAGAAGACAGUGACCACCAAAUAUGUCUGGUGGUUGGAGGGAGGAACCCCUGCGUGGCACCAAGGUGGCUGGAGGCGGAGUCUUUGGACAGAGAUGUGUUUAAUUGGAGAUGAGAAUC